rnacentral:ncRNA from 1 species
AAUAAAUUUUUUAUGGUUUAAAAAUUUUAUUAUGAAUUUGUUUUACAUAUAAAUUUUAGUGUUAAUUAUUAUUUAUUUAAAUAAUGAAUAAUUUUUGUGUAGUAAAUAAUUUUAAUAAAUUUAAGUAAUUAAGAUUUAGCAAUAUAAGAAUUAAUAACUAAUUUUGUGCCAGCAGUUGCGGUUAUACAAAAGUUGAUUUAAAUUUUUUUAGUUAUUAAUAAAUAAUAUUUGAUAAUUAAAAUUUUAAAUUAUUAGGUGAAAUUUUAAUUUAAUAAAAAAUUAUUUAAUAUUUAUGAUUUAAUAAAUUUAAUAAAAAACUAGGAUUAGAUACCCUAUUAUUAAAAUUUAAAUUGUUAUGCUAAAAUAGUAUGUAAUUUUUAUUGAAACUUAAAUAAUUUGGCGGUAUUUUAGUUUAUUUAGAGGAAUCUGUUUAAUAAUUGAUAAUCCACGAAUAAAUUUACUUAAUUUAUUAUUUUGUAUAUCGUUGUUAAAAAAAUAUUUUUUAAUAAAAAUAAUAUUUAAAAAUUAAAAUUAAAAAUUAAAUCAGAUCAAGAUGCAGAUUAUAAUUAAGAAUAUAAUGGAUUACAAUAAAUUUAUUUUUUUUGGAUUUUAAUGUGUAAUAAUUAAAUGAAAUUGGAUUUAAAUGUAAUUUUAUUUAAUUUAAUAAAAUGAUUUUAUAUUAAAAUAUGUACAUAUUGCCCGUCGCUUUCAUUUAUAAAUUGAAAUAAGUCGUAACAAAGUAGAGGUACUGGAAAGUGUUUCUAGAAAGAU